rnacentral:rRNA from 1 species
CCUACGGGAGGCAGCAGUGGGGAAUAUUGCACAAUGGGGGAAACCCUGAUGCAGCGACGCCGCGUGAGUGAAGAAGUAAUUCGUUACGUAAAGCUCUAUCAGCAGGGAAGAAACACUGACCUUACGGUCAGCAGACGGUACCUGAGUAAGAAGCCCCGGCUAACUACGUGCCAGCAGCCGCGGUAAUACGUAGGGGGCAAGCGUUAUCCGGUUUUACUGGGUGUAAAGGGAGAGUAGACGGUGCGCCAAGUCUGGAGUGAAAUGCCGCAGCUUAACUGCGGAACUGCUUUGGAAACUGGCGAACUAGAGUGCGGGAGGGGUAAGCGGAAUUCCUAGUGUAGCGGUGAAAUGCGUAGAUAUUAGGAGGAACACCGGUGGCGAAGGCGGCUUACUGGACCGUAACUGACGUUGAGGCUCGAAAGCGUGGGGAGCAAACAGGAUUAGAUACCCGGGUAGUC